CAUUUUUUUGUGUAUCUAUACGAAAAUUUACAUGGGUCCCUCUUCUUUUACCUCAAUCUGCCUGCUAAGCUUUAGUUUUUGCUCCAUUUUUGUUCUACUCUGUUCAUUUUUUAAUGGGUAUUUGCUUAUUUUGUAAUGUUUCUACUCGAUCUUUGCUUUGUUGUGUUUGUUUUGGGGUCGAUAUUUGCUUUUGUUGUAAUGGUUCUGCGAGGAUUGAAAGAGAUUCCAUUGGGGUUUGCCUGGUGUGGGAGUUUGAACAAUUUGCUUGGUGUUCGGUGUUCUUCAGUUCUUCGAUGAUCUAAAAAUAAAAAACUGAUGUAGCUUAUAUUGGGUUCCGUCUCCUAAGCAAAAAAGAAUUGUUUCCACUGAAGUUAUGUUUAUUACAUAUAGAUAUAGAUGACUAAAUGGGAAGUUCUAUUUUCUCUUUGAGUAUGCUUGCCUUUACUUAUUUUUCGCUGAUCUAUUUAAACAUAUAUAUUCAGCUGACGGUUUGUGUGUAGUAUGCCUAUGCUUGGUAUUUUGGUGGUCCAUGUCAAUUGUGAAGCUACAGUGAGUGCACAUGAGAGGGAGGGAAUUUUCCAUAAAUGUUUUUAAGACAGGAUGUUCUCAUUUCAUAUCACUUUUGUGGUAUUUAGUCUUUUGUUAGAACAUGAUUUCUCGAUGAGACAAUCAUACAAUCAUUCGAUAAAAUGUAAUAUAUCUAUUCAAUUUGUUUGUGCCCUUCAUACAAUUUGGGAAGAAUAAUUAAGAGUCUUUGGCAUGCAGAUUGAAUGUGUUAACGAAAGUGGAGAGGAUGGUGCCUCUGUCCUAUUGAUAUCAUUUUCUACUACACAGGGCAUUAUCCUUAUUUUUUCCCAUAUUGUCUUUCAUUCUUCAAGUUGUAAAAUUAUAUUUCGCAAAUUCUUACAGGUUCAACUAUUAUUUUCCAUUCCUAGAAACAAAUGGAAUUGUAAUUAUGGAUGAUAGACGGGUUGGACCCCUUUACAAGCAUGUUUCCCUUCGAAGCUAGCUCCUACCCUCUUGGAAUACCUUAUGCUGUGAUUUGAGUUAAUAAGAAUUUUUGAAUUACUCCUUCAUUUUAUAAUUGAGUUAAAAAUUUUAGUUUAUCGUAGAAAACUUUUUGAAAAAUCAGGUGGUUGUAUUCCAUAUGGUAGAAUUUCAAGCAUGGUGGAUGGCACGUGUUUUAUACUGUAAGCUACUAAUACCUUUUGAAAAUGAGAUGUUCAUCGAUAUCGAAAAGCAUUACCAGCAUAUGUUUCCCAAAUACCAAACUUAGAUCUAUGUGCAAUAAUUUUUCCUUAGAUUUUUUUCCUCAUUUCUGUUUUCUCAUAUUCUCGAAUCUUUGUUCAAUAUUUUGUUUUUGAAUUGUGGCUCAGUUGGUCUUUUCACUUGAAAACUAAUGUUGGUUCAUUCAUUGAUAUUGUGCAAGGUUUGACUGCUAUCCAUCUCUGAGAUUUUUUUCCUCUUUGGUUUGCUUCAAUGAAAAGGUUUGAUUUUAGGCCUGCAUGAAUGAGGUACCGUAUCAAUUAUGUUCCAGGAUAGCUUAGUUAUACUCUUUAGUGUGGAAUCAAAUGGAAAAAUGUUCUUCAGGGUUUGGUUCCUACAAUUUUUGAACAUUUUCUUAGUUAAAAGAUUUAAAUUGAAACCUCCUUAAUAUCCGAAUGUUUGUCUAAAUCUUUGCUAUUCAUGGUGACCCAUUCUAAACAGAAAUAAAGCAUAUUUUUAAAUUUUCUCCUGUAUUAUUGAUUAUAUCAACCGAAUUUAAAUUUAUUGUUAUAUAAAUUAGGAAUAUUUUGCUUUCUAAAACUACUAACAAUAUGGUAGUUCGUUCUCUUCUAUGUAUUCUCAAUCUGUCCUUUACUUUUUCACUUUGCUUGCGAUUUUUUACACCUCACAUAUUGAUAUUAGGAUAAAAGUGCAUCUAUAGAGGAUAGCAACAACAUAGAUUGGAGUACUAAUGAUGACCUAGAAAUUCAAGAAGAUACAACAUUUUCUGCUUCAUCAGCUUUAACAACCUAUCAUGUAGAACAUUCAAGUUUACCUUAUAUCGAUUCUAUUAUUAAAUGCUUAUGCUUUGAGUUAUUAUUUUCGUCUGCAUUAAAAUUUCUUUCAUAUUCUUGUUCAAAAAUCUCUGCUAUUGAAAUGUAACAGGUUAAUAAGACCAGAAAUUCUUUUUCAACCGUGCAUAUGUAGAUAACUUCCUCGACCAAAAAUAUCUUGAUAAGACUGAAGCUUUUAUUCCCAACUACUACAGAAACCAGCAAGCUUGUACUGGACUAAAGAUUUUUCUUCUACCUUGGGUCAAACUACAACUCCGGCCAGAGAACAAGAUUGUACUCCACCUCCAGAUAAAGCUAUAAUACUACACAGACUAAAACUACCCUCCAACUACAGAAGAAACUGUAACUGAUAUACAAAUACACAAGGAGUAUGUUGUUCAUGUACCUUUAUUUUGAUUUACUGUUAAAUCUAUGGAAAAUGCUAUGGUAUUGUUCAUGCACCUUUAUACACUUAACUCUUGUUUUCAUAAUUGCUUUAUAUCUCAUUUAAAGUUCUCUUCAUUUCUUCA